UAAUUGUACGGUUCACUAAUUUAUUUUUAAAGUAUCCCUGUUUGGGGCAGAUAACUCCUUAUUUCUAUAUAUUCUAUGUUGAGAGUUUUCUCUACACUUUUAAAAACUACACAGUUGAAGACUACUGAACAAGGGGACACUCUUUUGAUAAUGUGAUAAACACAUUCAUUCUUAAUCCUCACAUAAAGUCAAAUAAUUCAUUUGCCUGUACAAAAGAUAUAACAGGCAGUCUGUACAUAUUAUUUGUGGCAAAGUAAUCAGUAUUAAUCAGUGUAUCUGCUACACAAUGUGUUAUAUUACUCGGUAAUACCUCUGACCUAAAAAAUGAGUUAAGCUGAUUAUGGGACAUAGGUUCAUUUGCCUAAUUCAUUCAACAAAUAUUAAUUCAGUGCCUGCAGUAGGCACUGAAUUGAAAGCAAAUACAUGAGAGCAAACAGAAUAACGUAGAGCAAAACAAUAUCCAGCUCUCUUAGGGACUUCUGUCCACAUUACCCCAACCCAAUGGUAGGUUUUAAAUGCUGACAUUUUGCAGUUAAUCAGGGGCUUCUAAAUGCUAAUAAUUCUUCUUUAGAAGUGAUUACAGAAGAAGGGGUGAAAAAAAAUAGCAAUUCCUGCAGAGAAGUCCCAGUAUUACAUAUUUUAAAAUUCAACUUAAUGAGAUCAACUCUAAAGCUAUGCUUGAGAAACACACUGAUAUUUUUAGAAUUCUCUCAAUAUAGAACUCUAUGCUUAAAAUUAUCCCAUCUGGGUGGGUAACACAUUUGAUGAUGCUUUUAUAAUCAAAAGAAACAGGAAAUUAAAUAAUAUCGAUAUCUUUUAGGGUACCAGCAUGCAGUUUACAGCAUCGGUGUGUUAAUGAGCUGCAGACCACAUAAAUUUCAAUAGGAUAAUGAUGGUUCCCAAAUAUAUCCUUAGGUGAGUCAUUAGAUAGUAUCUUUAAUAGCUUUUUAAGGGUCAUCUUCAAGUUAUAAAUAAUAUAAAUACGUAUACAAUAAAACAUGAUCCCAGUUUUCACUUGCAAAAAGGGAUAGUGUUAGCUGUAAUAUUAGCUCCACUUAAAUGAGAUGUCUAAAAUCAAUGACAAGUAACAGUAAAAUACCUACAUGGCUAAUUAAAAUGGAACAAUUAUAAACAGGACGGACAAAACUAAAACACUAAAAGCAUAACUAAAACUAGCACACAACCUCAAAGGAAAUGGUAUUGUCAUAUGUUCAUGAAAAACAGAAAACUGUUGUGUAGAAUACAGAAACCCUGUUGCUAUUUUAAUUAUUUGUUUUUUUAAAAAGUUUUCCAAAUUUCAACAAGAGUGAUGAGUCAGAUCUUCAGUACAAAGCAAAGCGGUAUUUAAUUGAAAAGAUUACUGAGCUUGACAACUUCAGUCUUUUCAGCCACACACGGCAAAAGUGUCAUUUUCAAAUAUGAAAAAUAACCAACAUAAAUGAUAAAAAUAUUUUUAAGUUGUUAUAUGCACUAAUGUGAGUUGAGAUUUGAGAUCUCAUUUGUAAAUCCAUUUUAAAUCUCGGUCCUUAUAGAUUUAAUCCAAUUUUUCAAAAAAAAAUCUUAACACGCCUGCUACAGAGAUCCUAAUUGUUAAAGAUCUUUGACCCACAGCAUAUAUAUUCCUUCAACAUGGCAGGCCCUCUUGGCCUUGGCUCAUUUCCACUUGAGAUUGGUUUUGUUCAGUAUUAUAUACAUACAUACACGCAGCAUAAUACAGGACAUAUUAUAAUGCAGUCAAAAUUUAUGUUUUAUUCACAUACUAUCUCCUACUGGUACUUGUUAGCUCAAAACAUCUUCCAUAGGGAGAUAUACAUAAGAGAUAUUAGCUCAGGCCAAUUAGCAAGGCUGAAGACGUAAAAGAAACCCACUCUAAUGUCAAAUUAAUGCUGAAAAAUUAUUAUGGUUUAAGUUUCCUGGAAACUUUCACGUUGUUAGAAUGUGAUCACCAUGUGAACUAGAUACAUGUUCCUUCCAGACAAUGAAAGCUGGAAGUAUCAUCUCAGCCUUCCAUUGAUGGACAUUAUCAAUAUCCCUUACCAGGAGGCAAGCCAUCCACUCCUUUGAAGUAAAAUCUCCAAGUAGAACUCUCUUUUAGUCUUUAACAAGAGUCCUUAAUGUCACUCUGUAACCCCAAUAAUUCCUGGUCUCCAAUCUACCUUUUCCUGGACAAUUUUAAUCUGUAGCAAUAUUUAUUUAUUUAUUUAUGAGAUGGGGUCUUACACUAUUGCCCAGACUGGAGUGCAAUGGUGUGAUCAUGACUCACUGCAGCCUCAACCUUCCCGGCUCCAGUGAUCCUCACACUACAGCCUCCCAAGUAUCUGAAACUACAGGUGUGUGCCACCAUGCCUGGCUCAUUUUUUUUUUGUUCGUUUUUCUGUAGAGACAGAGUUUUGCCAUGUUGUCCCGGCUGGUCUCUAACUCCUGGGCUCAAGAACAUUUGACUGCCUUGGUCUCCCCCAAAGCGCUGGGAUUACAGGUGAGCCACCGCGCCCGGCCUGAUUUGUAGUAAUUUAAAUCCAAGUAAACCUCAACAGUAGCAGUAUCUUGGGGCAUUUAAAUUUUACUUUAACCAACUGAUAAAACCAAACUUGAAUAUGACAAUUUCAUAGGGCAUAAGCAAAUUCCAUGGACUCCUUACAUUUAUGGUCCUAGAUUAAUAAUAUUUUGGUGUUUGAACAGAGUAUUUGUAAUCUAUGUAAGUAAAGGACAUGAGGGGAAACACACUUUACUUUCUAAAAUUAUUCCUCUCCAUCACCCUCUUUCUCUAAGCCUUCUUUAAUUAUGGAUUGAAAUUUAGUUAGGUCUAUCUGGUUCAUUCAGAUACCUGUAAGAGAGGUCAUUUAUAGCAUAACAUCACACCAGGUGAUUUAAGCUCCUCUCCUACACAGUUUCAAAUACAGAAAAGCAAUGACCAUUCUUAGAAAAGAUCUUCACUAGUCAUCCACAGUCAGAGGGACAUUUAGAAGCAAUUGCAAAAACUGUGGAGACAACGUACAGUUUUUCUCAGCACAAUUUACAUAGAUGUCUGGCUAGCUCUUCCUUGUAAAAGUCCAGUGUCUUCAUUUGAUGUGCUAAGUUAAACUGUAAACUCCUGAAUAAUUUGAACUCUUAUUUAGGAAAAAAAUGUUUUUUCACCUAUAUACUAUAAAAAAUGGUGACGUUUAUCACAAGGGUCAUGCCGUGGGCUCCCAUAAAAGACAUUGUAGAGCACGAUAAAGAACGUUUUCUCCCAGAAGAACAUUUAUUUCUAAAACCCAGUUCCCCAUGUUAAACAUCACCUUUGGUUUAUCCUUCAGACUCACCGUACCCAUGAUGUUUAAAAUUGCAACCCACACCUGCACUCCCAAUUCCCUUUCUCUGUUCUCCUUUUUCAUUUUUUCAUAGCAUUUGUACUUUUCUAACCUAAUAUACAAAUAUGUUUUUUAUCAUUCUUUGCUAGAAUGUAAGCUCCAGAGGGAAGGGAUCUUUGUCUCUUUUGUUCAUUGAUGCAUCCCAAGCAUCAAGGACAGGACGUGAUAGAAAAUCAAUUUUUGUUGAAUAAAUGAAUGAAUCUAGGUUGAGUUCAGUAAAAAAAUAUCUCUGGAGUAAGUUAGUUUCCAAUUUUAUUUCUACAAUUAACAAAUACCUUCUGAGCUUCAAUUAUGGUGGAGAUAGAUUGAUCAUACCCUUACAAAUAUAUAAUAUCAGAUGGUGAUUAAGUGCUACAAAGCCGAACCAGCAGUACAAGAGUUUGGAGAGCCAGACAUUUUAGGUGAGGUAGUCACCUCUCUGAAAUGAUGGCAAUUGUUUCAAGACUUAAAUAAAGUUCUGUGCCAUGCAGAUUUGCGAAGAGUGGGAAAGUGAGCAUUGAGCAUACUGGAAAUACCAAACGCAGACGCCCUGGGAUGAGGGUCCGCUUGGCGAGCCCAGCAAGAGCAAUAAGGCCUGAGUGGUGGAAGUGGGGUAUGCAAGAACGUAUCAUUCUUGUUGCUUUUACCUGCUGCUUAAUAACACGCAUGUACUGUCUAGCAGGAAAUAAAGAGAUUACGUUUCACCUAGAAUACUCAUUCUCUGAGCCUAAGUGGCUCUUCUAUUCCAGCCCCCAAAUAUCUGUAUCAGCACAUCAUAUAAGAUUACAAAGCACAGAGUAAUGACAUUGUUAGAAACUCUUCACAGUAGCCCCAGGAGUCACGAAACUGACUUAACUAAGACCCACUGUCUAGUAAGGUGUAAAACCCAGCAGGAACGCAAUACUAGGAAGGUGCAAAGCCAGGAGGCUCAAUAAACGUUAAACAGUGUCUGGGGGAAAGAGCAACGAUCCAGAGCACUGUUUGUGAACUCAACCACUUUUAUUCAGCUCUGACAAGGCGCCAUGGGCUAACUUGCUGGAGAGCCACAUGGAGAGACUGUAUGGAAAAACCACAGGGAGAGGGAGAAGCCUUGAGAUCACAUGGAAGAGAACUGAGGAAUUGAGCUGACAAUGAGAAUUGAGGUCCCAGCCUAUGGUCCCAGUUGUGUGUUCCAGCCAGCAUCCAGUUGUUUGAACUGCCUCUAUACUAGUAAACAAGUAAUUAAUUAAUACAAGUAAAUGAAAACAAGUAAUAAAGUAAUUAAUACAAGUAUUAAGUGAGUGAAAAAAAACAUUUACCCACAGAAUUGUGAGCAAAUAAAGUGGUGUUGUUUUAAGCCUCUGA